rnacentral:rRNA from 1 species
UAAUACAUGCAAGUCGAACGAAAAAUAUAUAGAUGCUUGCAUUUAUAUAUUUUUAGUGGCGAACGGGUGAGUAAUAUAUAGAUAACCUACCUUUAAGUUGGGGAUAACAGAGGGAAACUUUUGCUAAUACCGAAUAAAAUAAUUAGACGCAUGUUUAAUUAUUAAAAGGGGCUUCAAAGCCCCGCUCUAAGAGGGGUCUAUAUCGCAUUAGCUAGUUGGUAAGAUAACAGCCUACCAAGGCUAUGAUGCGUAGCUGUACUGAGAGGUAGAACAGCCACAUUGGGACUGAGAUACGGCCCAAACUCCUACGGGAGGCAGCAGUAGGGAAUUUUCGGCAAUGGGGGGAACCCUGACCGAGCAAUGCCGCGUGAUUGAAGAAGAUCCUCGGAUCGUAAAGAUCUGUUAUUAGGGAAGAAUGGAAUUGAUAGGAAAUGAUCAAUUUAUGACGGUGCCUAAUGAGGAAGCCCCGGCUAACUAUGUGCCAGCAGCCGCGGUAAUACAUAGGGGGCGAGCGUUAUCCGGAAUUAUUGGGCGUAAAGGGUACGUAGGCGGGCCUGCAAGUCUGAUUUGAAAGCACACGGCUUAACCGUGUGAGGUAAUUAGAAACUACAGGUCUAGAGAGUGGUAGAGGUAAAUGGAAUUCCAAGUGGAGCGGUGAAAUGCGUAGAGAUUUGGAGGAACACCAGUGGCGAAGGCGGUUUACUGGGCCACAUCUGACGCUGAUGUACGAAAGCGUGGGAAGCAAACAGGAUUAGAUACCCUGGUAGUCCACGCCGUAAACGAUGAGUGCUAAGUAUCGGUAGAUUCGGUGCUUAAGCUAACGCAGUAAGCACUCCGCCUGGGGAGUACGGUCGCAAGACUGAAACUCAAAGGAAUUGACGGGGACUCGCACAAGCGGUGGAGCAUGUGGUUUAAUUCGAGGCAACGCGAAGAACCUUACCCGGUUUUGACAUCUGUGGUAACCUGCAGAGAUGUGGGUGUGCCGGUUUACCGGAGCCACAAAACAGGUGCUGCAUGGCUGUCGUCAGCUCGUGUCGUGAGAUGUUGGGUUAAGUCCCGCAACGAGCGCAACCCCUGCUUUCAGUUACCAUCAUUAAGUUGGGGACUCUGGAAGGACCGCUGCGGUAACAACGCAGAGGAAGAUGGGGACGAUGUCAAGCAAUCAUGGUCCUUAUGACCGGGGCUACACACGUGCUACAAUGGCAGUUACAGAGGGAAGCGAAGCUGUAAAGUGGAGCGAAUCUCAUAAAAGCUGCCUCAGUUCGGAUUGAGGUCUGCAACUCGACCUCAUGAAGUUGGAAUCGCUAGUAAUCGCGCAACAUCAUGGCGCGGUGAAUACGUUCCCGGGCCUUGUACACACCGCCCGUCAA